UACCGAAUAAAACUUAGUGUCGCAUGACACAAAGUUAAAAGGCGCUUUGGCGUCACCUAGAGAUGGAUCCGCGGUGCAUUAGUUAGUUGGUGGGGUAAAGGCCUACCAAGACAAUGAUGCAUAGCCGAGUUGAGAGACUGAUCGGCCACAUUGGGACUGAGACACGGCCCAAACUCCUACGGGAGGCUGCAGUAGGGAAUCUUCCACAAUGGGCGAAAGCCUGAUGGAGCAACGCCGCGUGUGUGAUGAAGGCUUUCGGGUCGUAAAGCACUGUUGUAUGGGAAGAACAGCUAGAAUAGGUAAUGAUUUUAGUUUGACGGUACCAUACCAGAAAGGGACGGCUAAAUACGUGCCAGCAGCCGCGGUAAUACGUAUGUCCCGAGCGUUAUCCGGAUUUAUUGGGCGUAAAGCGAGCGCAGACGGUUGAUUAAGUCUGAUGUGAAAGCCCGGAGCUCAACUCCGGAAUGGCAUUGGAAACUGGUUAACUUGAGUGCAGUAGAGGUAAGUGGAACUCCAUGUGUAGCGGUGGAAUGCGUAGAUAUAUGGAAGAACACCAGUGGCGAAGGCGGCUUACUGGACUGUAACUGACGUUGAGGCUCGAAAGUGUGGGUAGCAAACAGGAUUAGAUACCCUGGUAGUCCACACCGUAAACGAUGAACACUAGGUGUUAGGAGGUUUCCGCCUCUUAGUGCCGAAGCUAACGCAUUAAGUGUUCCGCCUGGGGGAGUACGACCGCAAGGUUGAAACUCAAAGGAAUUGACGGGGACCCGCACAAGCGGUGGAGCAUGUGGUUUAAUUCGAAGCANCGCGAAGAACCUUACCAGGUCUUGACAUCCUUUGAAGCUUUUAGAGAUAGAAGUGUUCUCUUCGGAGACAAAGUGACAGGUGGUGCAUGGUCGUCGUCAGCUCGUGUCGUGAGAUGUUGGGUUAAGUCCCGCAACGAGCGCAACCCUUAUUGUUAGUUGCCAGCAUUCAGAUGGGCACUCUAGCGAGACUGCCGGUGACAAACCGGAGGAAGGCGGGGACGACGUCAGAUCAUCAUGCCCCUUAUGACCUGGGCUACACACGUGCUACAAUGGCGUAUACAACGAGUUGCCAACCCGCGAGGGUGAGCUAAUCUCUUAAAGUACGUCUCAGUUCGGAUUGUAGUCUGCAACUCGACUACAUGAAGUCGGAAUCGCUAGUAAUCGCGGAUCAGCACGCCGCGGUGAAUACGUUCCCGGGUCUUGUACACACCGCCCGUCACACCAUGGGAGUUUGUAAUGCCCAAAGCCGG
rnacentral:rRNA from 1 species